rnacentral:rRNA from 1 species
GAUGAACGCUGGCGGCGUGCCUAAUACAUGCAAGUCGAGCGAACGGACGGAGAGCUUUCUUCUCUGCUGUUAGCGGCGGACGGGUGAGUCACACGUGGAUAACCGACCUAUAAGACUGAGGUAACUUCGGGAGACCGAAGCUCAUACCGGAUCAUAUUUUGAACCGCAUGGUUCAACAGUGAAAAACGGCCUUGCUGUCCCUUAUAGAUAGUUCCUCGCUGCAUUAGCUAGUUGGUAAGGUAACGGCUUACCAAGGCAACGAUGCAUAGCCGACCUGAGAGGGUGAUCGGCCACACUGGAACUGAGACACGGUCCAGACUCCUACGGGAGGCAGCAGUAGGGAAUCUUCCGCAAUGGGCGAAAGCCUGACGGAGCAAUGCCGCGUGAGUGAUGAAGGUCUUCGGAUCGUAAAACUCUGUUAUUAGGGAAGAACAUAUGUGUAAGUAACUGUGCACAUCUUGACGGUACCUAAUCAGAAAGCCACGGCUAACUACGUG